UCGGUCACACUUAUUAAUUAAUUAGGUGUGGGGAGGGGGAAAAACACCCCUCAAAGGGGUGACCAGCUUUUUCAUAGACUGACUUUCGUGGUGCACAAAGACUUUAGGGCACGGAAAGAGACACGUCCAAAUAUACAGUGGAUACAUGAAUAUUUUGUAUUGUACAUAAGAGCGGUCACGAGGAUAACUCUUACACACUUAGAUCUGAGAGAAUAUCUACUUACUUACGAAACAAAACAUAUAAAACAACGAAACUGAUGUCUGCAACAGCAUGUUUCUGCACACACAUACGCUAACAACAAUCAAAAUCGAUGGCCUUAACGUCCAUAGUAUAAGAAAGAUAGGGUAUUUUUAUUUUUACCGAGAAAGAAAGACAAGGCAUUUUUACAUGCGAUUCAAGUACUCUUCACUCUUGACAGCUCUUACCUCCUCAGAGAUCUCUUAGCUCAAACAUGAUUCUUCCUCCAAGAGUUUACAUGUAAGAAAAUGUGAACCUCGCAUGGUAAAUAAGGCUCCUUCGAUCGCUUGCAUGACCUUUCAGAGGUUGUUGAUUUGUCUUUAAUUGGGUGAUUUUGAAGGAAUACGUAGUCUAAUUCAAAUAGCUCAGGAGGGAUAGAUAAGAAAAGAGAAGAUAAGUUGGAUGAAAAUGGGAAAAGAUUUUGUCAAAAAUCUAUAUCAUAAAGUUUUGAUAUAGAGUAAAUGACAAUUAAAAAAACAAAAAUGAAGAACGAAGAACAGGGUCUUACAAGGUCAAGAAAAGGUCUUACAAGGUCAAGAAGAAAAAAGAAAAAAUAAAUGAAGAAGAUAUAGCAAAGAAAAAGCUCAGGUAGGAUAGCACCCAAUUAACAUGAAAAGCCAUCUUUUCAGCUACCAGUUGAAAGCCAGCAAAGAAUCCAUCUGCAAAGUUCUUUUCCUGGCUUGUAGCGUAGCACGUGCUAGCUUUGUUCAUUCUCUCGAACAGGUUCCCUGUAUCGAGAAUCAUAUCAAAUACAAGAAACUUAAGGAAUAUAUCAGUUUUUGCACAUAAAAUCAAGACAGUGAACAAAUGAUAAGGUCACAUGCUCCUCCUCUAACUACAUACAUAAAAUUACAAAUUUAAGAGCAUAAAGUAUCUGAUCUUUCUAUCAAUUAUUAGGAAUACUACUGAGACAAGUUGAACAGGACAAGAUUUUAUACAAAUACUAUAUAUAUAGAUAGUGUUGACUUCGAAUAACACCAAAAACUAUGAGCUCUUGACAUUCCAUAUAUAUUUCUUACGACUCCAUAAAGGUUUCCAUACCUUGCAGAAACUUGUGCCUUUCUUUCACCUUUGAAAGCCCCUUUUCUCUUUCCCCCAUGUUGGGGGAGAGAGAGACACAGAGAGAGAGAGAGAGGGCAACGGAGAGUGUAGUGGUAGUUGCAAUAUUACAACGAAAAAUGAGGAGUGGCAACAGGUAUAUAUGAAGGGGACGAGGCCAGUUG
rnacentral:lncRNA from 1 species